rnacentral:rRNA from 1 species
GCCUGCCCUGUGACUUAGUUUAACGGCCGCGGUAUCUUAACCGUGCGAAGGUAGCACAAUAAAUUGUUCUCUAAAUAAGGACUAGUAUGAAUGGCACCACGAGGGCUCAACUGUCUCCUUCCUCCAAUCAAUGAAAUUGAUCUUCUCGUGAAGAAGCGAGAAUAUUACUAUUAGACGAGAAGACCCCAUGGAGCUUUAAACUUAUUACCAAUUACUUAACCGCUAAACCAUAAUAUGUAGUAAAAAUGUUCUUAAUAGUUUUCGGCUGGGGUGGCCCUGGAGUAAAACAAACCCUCCAGAAUGAACGGAAUAAAACCCUAAUCUAAGAAUUACAGCUCAAAGAAUCAAAAAACUGACAUUAUUGAUCCAAUUAAUUGAUUAACGAAACAAGUUACCCUGGGGAUAACAGCGCAAUCCAUUUUGAGAGCCCCUAUCAACAAAUGGGUUUACGACCUCGAUGUUGGAUCGGGGUAUCCCGGUGGCGCAGCCGCUACUAAUGGUUCGUUUGUUCAACGAUUAAUAACCCCACRUGAUCUGAKUCAAACCGGAUCGAACAGGUAAGAAAUUAGGCUAUAGUGAUCCGGUGGUUCUGAAUGGAAGGGCCAUCGCUCAACGGAUAAAAGCUACUCUAGGGAUAACAGCGUAAUAAUCUCCAAGAGUUCAUAUCGCCGAGAUUGGUUGCGACCUCGAUGUCGACUCAUCUUAUCCUGGGGGGUGAAGCAGCUCCCAAGGGUUCGGCUGUUCGCCGAUUAAAAAGAUAC